rnacentral:rRNA from 1 species
GCACAUUUUUUAUUGAAUUCAAGUUUAAUUAUUAUUUACUAUACUAUACUUAUAAAUCCUUUUUACAAAAAAAAUUUUUUUUUUUUUCCUUAAAUUUUAUUUAAAGUAACCCACUAUAACUUUUAUGUGGUCUACACCUUUACCUAACUUACUAGUUGACUAUUUGGAAUAAAAUCGUAAAGAUAAAUUCUUAAGAUGGAGGUAUAUAAAAUGUGAAUAAAAGUGAAAAUUAUCGKGGAUUAUCGAUUAUUUAKCGGUU